UACGAAGGGUGCAAGCGUUAUCCGGAUUCAUUGGGUUUAAAGGGUGCGUAGGCGGAGCGAUAAGUCAGUGGUGAAAUCCUGCAGCUCAACUGUAGAAUUGCCAUUGAUACUGUCGUUCUUGAGUAUGCUCGACGUAGGCGGAAUGUGCCGUGUAGCGGUGAAAUGCUUAGAUAUGGCACAGAACACCGAUAGUGAAGACAGCUUACGAGGGCAAAACUGACGCUGAGGCACGAAAGCGUGGGGAUCGAACAGG
rnacentral:rRNA from 1 species